GCCAACAUAGCUCAGGUGGUAGAGCAGCUCACUCGUAAUGAGCAGGUCGGCGGUUCAAGUCCGCCUGUUGGCU
rnacentral:tRNA from 1 species